rnacentral:rRNA from 1 species
CGCUGGCGGCGUGCCUAAUACAUGCAAGUCGAACGCACUCUCGUUUAGAUUGAAGGAGCUUGCUCCUGAUUGAUAAACAUUUGAGCGAGUGGCGGACGGGUGAGUAACACGUGGGUAACCUGCCCUAAAGUGGGGGAUAACAUUUGGAAACAGAUGCUAAUACCGCAUAAAACCUAACACCGCAUGGUGUAGGGUUGAAAGAUGGUUUCGGCUAUCACUUUAGGAUGGACCCGCGGUGCAUUAGUUAGUUGGUGAGGUAAAGGCUCACCAAGACCGUGAUGCAUAGCCGACCUGAGAGGGUAAUCGGCCACACUGGGACUGAGACACGGCCCAGACUCCUACGGGAGGCAGCAGUAGGGAAUCUUCCACAAUGGACGAAAGUCUGAUGGAGCAACGCCGCGUGAGUGAAGAAGGUUUUCGGAUCGUAAAACUCUGUUGUUGGAGAAGAAUGUAUCUGAUAGUAACUGAUCAGGUAGUGACGGUAUCCAACCAGAAAGCCACGGCUAACUACGUG